CUUUGUAUGUGUACUGAUGUAGGACAACUUAGGGGAUGACCUACAAUAGCAUGGUGGGAGGAAUUGGCGAAUAGCUAAUUUGUUGCCUUGCUGUUCUAUUGCAGAAAACAGGGCAGAAGCAAACACUUUAAUGGAUUGAAGGAAAGAGGGGAGCUUUCUAGGUCCAUCCUAGGGUUUAGAGAUAGUGUUUGUUGUUAGAAAAAAGUUUCAAGGGGUUUUAGGAUUAAAGGAGAAGGUUUGAUGUUGACUUGAAAUUUAAUUCAGGCAAUAAUACAUAUAUUCACAGGUUUUUGAAGAUAGGGAAAGACAUGAGAAGUAAAGGAGUUGAGAGAUGAAGAGGGAGAGGGGAAUAGAAGACACUAGAGGCAGGGCGAGAGAGGGAGGAGAGAAAUCACUUUCACAAACUCAUACAAUACAACCCAUGACCACCCUUUCGUUUGCC
rnacentral:lncRNA from 1 species